AAAAUUAUAUAUACGCCUCAUUUGUAUAUAGACAAUUUUUUUUCCCAUAUAUUCACUUGUAAAAAGGGUAAAUAAAUUUUAUAAUUUAAUCACAUGUGUAUUUUUAUUUUAUUUAUAAGUUUUUUAUGAAUAAAAUUAGUACUAAUAUACAUGCUUCGUGCGAUAAAGACAU
rnacentral:sRNA from 2 species